AUUGAACGCUGGCGGCAUGCUUUACACAUGCAAGUCGAACGGUAACAGGCCGCAAGGUGCUGACGAGUGGCGAACGGGUGAGUAAUGCAUCGGAACGUGCCCAGUCGUGGGGGAUAACUACUCGAAAGAGUAGCUAAUACCGCAUACGAUCUAUGGAUGAAAGCGGGGGACCGUAAGGCCUCGCGCGAUUUGAGCGGCCGAUGUCAGAUUAGGUAGUUGGUGGGGUAAAGGCUCACCAAGCCAACGAUCUGUAGCUGGUCUGAGAGGACGACCAGCCACACUGGGACUGAGACACAGCCCAGACUCCUACGGGAGGCAGCAGUGGGGAAUUUUGGACAAUGGGCGCAAGCCUGAUCCAGCAAUGCCGCGUGCAGGAAGAAGGCCUUCGGGUUGUAAACUGCUUUUGUACGGAACGAAACGGCUCUGGUUAAUACCCGGGGCUAAUGACGGUACCGUAAGAAUAAGCACCGGCUAACUACGUG
rnacentral:rRNA from 1 species